rnacentral:lncRNA from 1 species
CACAGAUAACACAUAAUCCAGAUGGCUCCUUACGUGUUAAAAAUUGUCACCCCAAUUUCACUCCAAUUUGGAAAAAUAUUGGAGUGACGUUUGAAUAAUCUGAAAUUUUUAGAUUCCUUUUCUAACUUUUUUGGGAGGUUUUGCUUCUCUUGCACAGAUGUCGCUUGCACUUCAGUUGCGUGGUUGCCAAACGUUAUAUCGAAAUAUAUUUCAUUUCAUUAUGAAUAUAUAAAAUUAAAAAUUAUGUAAUUUAUAAACAUGAAAUAGAUAUGGAUGUUAGGUAAUACCGGAUGUUAAAUUAAUAUAUAAAUAUUUAACUUAAUACGUACAUUAUUAUUUUAUUAAUUUAUCGUCACACGUCAUUUACCAGUUGCCUAAUUACGAAAAGUUUCAUAUGAUAUUAACCUCAAAAAUGAUCUUUGAAAACAAACAACAACAAAUAACUCAAAGAAAUAACUACAUACUACAUAAUAAUAACUGAUAAUAAUGACUUUUAAUGGUAUAAAGGCUGAUGAAGUUUUAGACAACCAAUACAAGAUUCAGAACUCGGCAUCGCGAUAAACAAGUAAAAUUGUACAUUCAGGAACUCGUUUAAAUAUUAUAGGUUGAUUGAAGAAUAAUCUACAAUUGAUUAGAGCCUAUGACGAUGCGAAGAUAAUUAAUCACCUAACUUUAAGAAACCAGCCUAAAGAAGUUUACAUGCAUCUCAUCUAACCAUUAUAGAUCAGUAGUGAUUUUUCAUAAUUUGAAUGAACUCACAGAUAGCAAUGGGGCACCGCACCGAAGCAGUAUUACAAAAUGUGAAAUAAAACUGUAGUACAUAUUGCUCUAUAAAAUUUAAUAGAAAUAAAUUUAUUUAUGAAAAUUAAUGAAGUUUUAUCUUUCCUAGGAAAAAAAUAACAAUUAUAUUUUGAACAAUUAAUUUAGAACAUUAGAGUUAAAAAAAUAUAUGUGUUAGAAAUUGUAACACAUAUUUUUUUAACUCUAUGUUAUUCUAACUUAGAAUAACAUAUUUUUAAUAAAAUUGCGCUUAUACUUUAUACUUUUUUGCUAUUAUAUCAAUAAGAACUAACGUAAGGAGCAAUUCAUUUAUACUAUAAACACACAUGCAUAUUUUUUGAUCUUUUUAAAACCAGUGAAUAAUGUUGAAAUAUGCUACACCUAUUAAUUCUUAUUAACUAACUUUAUAGCUAGACAGUUGAAAAUUUUACAGAUAAUGUAUCUAUGUUGCCGCUAUAAGAACAAAUACUAAAAACAGAAUUAAAUAAAUGUUUAUAAAUAAAAAAGUACUUUCACUAAACAUUAUCGUUUAAGUAAGAAUUUUACACAGAAUAUUCAAGUCCUCGAGUGGCCGUGUGGUUAAAGGCGUUAGGAUUUGAAGGCGUUGAGACGUAGUGAGGCAGGUUCGAAUCGUAGGCAAGGUGACUUUUUCUUAAUCUUUUUUUUUAUUUUUACAUAUUUUUACAUAUUUAUUUUUACUUAUUUAUUAUUGAUUAAUACAAUUUUUAGCAAUGUAUUUCUUCAUUUUUUUUAAAUUACUUACAAGCGCAUUCAAAAUUUCAGCUAAAUCGGAAAAAAGUUUACAAUAAUAUAAUGUCUGAUGUUGUAUAGAUAAUGUGUGAAUGGUACAUUCAAUGAUAAUGAACCCUUCGUGCGCGAGUCCGACUCGCACUUGGCCAAUUUUUUUUGUUAAUUGAAACGUUUAGAAUUUGAAUAUUCGUUCAAAAAUUUUUUUUUUAAUAAAUUUAUUUAUGAUAAACAAUUUAUUAAUGAAAAUAAUAUGACCGAAUUUCCUGGAAAGUUUUUCAAAUUUGUACAUAUGAAAACCUAGCUUUACCACUUAUCAUAGAAAAUCUCUAUUCCUUCCCUUAUCACGGAAUAAUAAAGGAACGAACCAUAUGCGACAAAGAUAGAAGAUUUAGAUAUGUCGUUACUGUCUUUUGUUUUUAACGGAUAUUUUAAAAGGCGGGUAAUUUACCUUUGACUGUCUUUGAUUAUAACUGUGUGUGAUUAGUGAUAAUAAAAUUAUUAUUAAAAUGUCUGGUAAUAAGUGCCAAUUUUAUAAUUGUGGGAUUUCUCGGAAAUCAGGUGUACAUAUGUUUAAGUUUCCUGCGUCAAGAGAUCCUAAUUUAUGUACAAAGUGGAUAGAAAAUUGUGGUGAGUUCAUUCAUAUAGAAUUUUUUUGCACAUUUUGUAUGUAAAAAUACGGCGUUAAGUUACCUUAGAAAUGGUGAUCGAUGGCUUUUACCAUAUACCGU